ensembl:lncRNA
UUAGUUCGACAAAGCUAAACUCUGCGGGACUUGGUUUUCACAGUGUUUGGGGUUGUUUCUUUGCUUGCUCACUCCGUUGAAACAUCCAUAUCCUUGUGUCCGAAAGGUGCUCAGUCCGGGUAGUCACGCCCCUCCGGUCAGCCCCACCCAAUUCCACUAAAGCGAGAAAUCAGCCAGGCACCCGGAGAGCCCCUCCCCCACCCGGCGAGGCCUGGAAGGAAAAGGGAGCUCGGGAGAGGCCACAGACGGUGUCCUACUUUCUCGGGUCCCCAAGGAUCCUUUUUCUUAGUAAAAACCUGAAAGGACCAAAAACUAUAUAUCUCAAAUAAAAGCACAAGAAAUUCAACCAGCCGUAGAGAUUUUUGUAGGAGAACUUUUAGGGGACAACAGAAUUUGAGAUUUCACUAGGUGAGAAGUGGGAUUGGAUUUCAGUAGAAAAAAAUCCCGAGGGAACCAUUAGCGGAAACUAAGAAUGGGGAUGUAUUCCCCUCUAAAUGCAGUAGAGAAGAGUCAGGAGAGCUGGAAAGAGGCAGGCGCAAAAAAAAAAAAAAGUUCUGGGUGGAUCUGCCAGUUCAUGGCCGCCUCACCUGCGUUUCAAUCAUUGUCUCUGUGAACAAGCCCCUCUUGGGUUUCCUGCCAGAAAAAUAUUUGGCAAGUUUCGCUUGAAUUUAUACAGGACACACUUUUGAACAUGUAAACAAUAUACAAGGCCAACUUGUUUUGGGAGCUACGAAUGACAAAAGUCUCGAAAUCCAAAUCUGUGCCAAGUUAGUUUUGCCCUUAAAAAAAAAGUGCUUAUGAAAUACUCGAAUCUCUUCAGUUAGCACAAAUACAAUGGGUGACCUAAAAGUUCAAGUAAUGGCCCAGAGUGAGGGGAAGUGUAUGUAAUGUUGACUCCGGUUUACAGAAAGUGAAUCUGAGUCAUGACAAGAUCCUGAAAUUCUGCACGAUCUCAUUCUGCCUGUAAAUGCCCUGGACUCAAUGGUAAGCAAACGUGAACUCUGGCCAGGCAGGCAGAAGCACUUUGUUUUCCAUUGUGUGGCGACACCAGCCUCCCAUUGCUUCUGACAAAGGCCUUCGUCAAGCCGGUGUGUCAUCGUUUGCGUUUGCCACGGCCGCAGCUCGCCGGCUGCGCGCGAAGACCCGCUCCCCGACUUGCCAGUAACUCUGGUCUCCCCGGGCGCGAGGCCAGGCCGGCCGGUCCACGCGGGAUGCAGCGCCACCUGCUGGAAGCCGAGUGAUAGAGCCGCAGACGGGACUAGACCGCGGAGACCAAAAAGACCAGCGCUGGGUGCCCUGUUGGCUUCGGGGCGACAGCCAGGCCUGACUGGAAGGAGAACAAAAACAGUAGCAGAAAUACGCACCGUUUAUCCAAACCAAUCCUCCAGGCUACAUGCCAUCCUUUCCUCUCUGCGGAGUGUGGUGUGGUGUGUGUCCACGCGCCCCUGUCGGGAGCUAUAUCAUGGUUGGACAUUUGGGUGUGUCUGUCUGUGAUCUCCUCCUCCUCCUCCUCCUUGCUGGAUUUGAAGGAAUUCUACAGCUGACAGAAGCCUCUCCAUCAAUUAUCC